rnacentral:rRNA from 1 species
AUUGAACGCUGGCGGCGUGCUUUACACAUGCAAGUCGAACGGCAGCACGGGGGCAACCCUGGUGGCGAGUGGCAAACGGGUGAGUAAUACUUCGGAACGUACCUUUUAGUGGGGGAUAACUACUCGAAAGAGUAGCUAAUACCGCAUAUGUCUAUGGAUGAAAGCGGGGGAUCGUAAGACCUCGCGCUAAUUGAGCGGCCGAAGCAAGAUUAGGUAGUUGGUAGGGUAAUGGCCUACCAAGCCUGCGAUCUUUAGCUGGUCCUGAGAGGGAGGUCCCCCACACUGGUCCUGAGACACGGACCAGACUCCUACGGGAGGCAGCAGUGAGGAAUAUUGGUCAAUGGGCGCAAGCCUGAACCAGCCAUGCCGCGUGCAGGAUGACGGUCCUAUGGAUUGUAAACUGCUUUUGUACGGGAAGAAACACUCCUACGUGUAGGAACUUGACGGUACCGUAAGAAUAAGGAUCGGCUAACUCCGUGCCAGCCGCCGCGGUAAUAC